ensembl:lncRNA
GUGACUUUUUAAAAGACUUAGGACUCAUGGGUGGAUAAUCAGCCAAUCAGGAACUCCCAGUGCAGUGUGGUGGUGGUGACACCUAGACAUUAGGUCUGAACACCAAGAGGAUGCUGAUAAACUAAUGAGCAUUGAGAGAAGAUCCACAGGAAGUGCUGAGGAGCUGGAAGAGGAGAUUUAUCAUGAAGAGCUUAACAAAUUCAAUGUAUUGCUCAGCAAACAGAUAGCUACUGAAGCUGAUUGUGAUUAUGGGAUUUGUUUUGUCCAAUUUUCCACAUCUAAAAUACAGGAAUGUGAUCUAGGCUUGCUGCUUCACUAUACUUAUGCAUUCAAUGCAGAAGUUCGAUAUCUCCUGUGGCAAUUAAUCCCAUACAGAGAUAGCUGCCAUGAAUUGCCUUCUGGUAGUGCCCGUUCCUCUCAGUUGAUUACAAGAGGAUCCCCAAAUGCUAGAUCAGUCUUUGGCCGGCAUCUUUCAUAAAGUGCUGAAAUUUGCCCUUGAGGCAUCAGAUGGAGUAGUCAGAUUGUCAAAUAAGUCUCCUAAUUGAAGCGAACGCUGGCACAAUAUUUGUCUUUUGAAAACAAACAUCGCCAGCAAAGUUGCAGGUCCACCACGGAGCCGCGCGGAGCCGGGUGUGCGCAAUGGGAGGAAGGCUGUGCGAGCAGAUUGUUGCAGGGAAACACCAAACCUGUGAAAAUCCACUGAACCAAAGCAAAAACAGUAAGAGCUCAUUAUUGCUUUAAAGUUUCAUGCGAGCAGGUGCAAGAAGUAAAUAAAUAUCCUCUUUUGGUGAUUUAUUUGCAUUUUUAUAUCUUAAAGGGUCAGAAGAAAUCAAUAGUUCUCCUUGCACUCUGUGAAAUUAAUCAGUAACUUUGGAGACACUCUGUGUUUAAGAAAACAAACUGAACAAACAGCACAUGGCCUUUAAAGAUGUCCUCCGGUGGUGUUCCUGGUGGAUUUGGGACAAUAAAAGGCUGAGUAUUUCCCAGUACAGCACCUACAAGAAAACCUAAGCGAGAGCACAGGACAAAGCCCUGUCUGGCGGUGCCCACCCCAGGUGACUCAGGAAGCAAGUGUUAUUGCAGCCAUAAGAAACCUGAUAGCGCUGUGCCUAUCAGCCAUCUGCAGGGGAAAAGGUCAGGGGCAUGGAUGUUGCCACUCACCUGGAGCACUUCUGUACCACUCCUCCAGCAGCUGCCGGUGGCACUGCUCAAAAUCACGGCUCUGAGCAAUGCCAAUAGGAGCAGGGUGUGUGCUUCAGGGUGGCCUGGGACUUCUGUAAGCAGCAACUCAAGCAAAUCUAGGUGGAGUGCAAGCAGGACAACUUCAUUUAAAAUGGCUGUGUGUGAUGACUUCAGUCCCAUAGCAUGCAGUCUCUAAUCGGCGUAGCAGUUCUUGGUGCAUCACCAGCUCCAUGUUGCAUUCCAUGUUGGUUUCAGCCCUGCCCAAUGCAGGGCAGCUCGGGCUGCUCAGAGCCCCAUCCAACCUGGCCUGGAGCGUCUGCAGGGAUGGAGCACCACAGCUUCUAUGUGCAUCUGUACCACUGCCUCACUGCCCUCUGAGUAAAGAAUUUACUCUUAACACCUAACUUAAAUCUCCCUUCUUUUAGUUUAAAGCCAUUCCCCCUCAUCCUAUCAAAUGAACCUAGUCUGGGAAUUUCCAUGCUAAAGCGCUACCACUCCAGUGGGGCUCCCCCUGAUAAAACAAACCCACUGGCUUUGGAACAAGCAGAGUAAGACUUUUGCAUCAAUGUAAUACAUAACAUGAAUUACUUGAUGGGAAGUGAAGACACUGAUAGUAUGGGAGCAAUAAAGAGCUGAUCCUACUUCCAUUAACUUUAUUGGGAGCAGACCCAAAAUCUUUAAGUGGAGAUUGGCAUAUCACAUCUAUCUAAUCUAAAGUAUCUCAGGAUUUAUAGUGUGGUAUCAGGACUGAGACAGACAGAUGAAAUAUUACUCCUGCUACAUUUAAUUUAUAAUCUUCAUCUCACUAUCAUUGCACCUACCUACUUAUAUAGUCUCCAUUACUAAAGUAGCUGAGAGACUGCCAAGUAUUUAGACAUAUAAAUAAAAUAGCAGAGAUUGUUUUGUUCUCUGUCUCCCUUUUUCUCUUGCUGUUUAUAAGAUGUCCCCUAAGGUUUGUGUUUGCUUUGUUUAUGGUUCUUAGUGUAAGUGAAUGGAACUGGAAAUCUGAAGGGUUUGUUUUUAAUAAAGUUUAUGGGAAAAUCAGAUACAUAGCAAAAGAAAUGCAUAUUUAUUUCUGUAUAUAUUGGGAUCAGUGGCUAUCAGGGAGAACAGAAGUGAAUGUGAAUUAUGGAGUUUAGAUCCAGGAGCUUUCAGAAUUUCAUUGCAUAAGCUCACAAACUUCCCCUGUUGAUUCACAGUCCAGACUGUACCUGUCAAAUGUCAUGGGCGGUCAUGUUGGUGGAAGGAGAUGUGAUAUCUCAGGAAGCAAAGUGCAAUACCCUGAAGGGCUUUGACUAUCAAGACACUGGGCAAGCCAAAGGAAUUUGUGCUGCUGAGUAAAUGGGAUGCUGUGUUUGGAAGUUUUCAGAGCUUUCAUAGGGCAUGUGGCUCUGUUCCUAUGUGUGAUAAGCAACCAUGGUGAAACUUCAAAGUCAAACAAUGCCUGAGUGUCCUGUCUGUGUCUUACAGGGAUAGUUGUGGACUUUUGGCUGGUCAAUCACAGAUAGAGAGGAUUACCAGGGAUUUAAGAAAGGUGUGCUUCCCCUCUCCAUAAAGGCAUCACUCCACCCCGGAGGGGCCACGCUGCAGCUCCCUGCUCCUCUUAGAGCUGCUCACAGUGAACACAGUGGUGGCUGGUGCUGGAACGAGAUGCGGGACCAAAGUCACCGUAGAAGCACCAACUCUCUGGUUUGGUUACUCAGCCUGGCUCUUGCCACCAUUGGUGCUUGUCACGCACCAGGGUCUGCACGUUGGGAGAGUUUGAGGCUGGUCUAACAGGAAGAACAUCAGACAUUUGAGGAUGUGUCCUUAAGAACUGGACAAUCCUAUGUUUUCUCUUUUCUAUUUCUGACUGCUGCUGAGCUCAUGAAUACCCACCAAUGGAUAAACAGAGAGCCCUGGACCUUUUUCAUAAUUGUUUCUGGAUAUAUCCUUCCUUCAUCUUAUUCUGAACAAAACUUCUUGAAUAGCUCAUUUAAGGAGAAAACACUCGAAAAGUAUAUUAGCAAACUCUUUCAGUGGGGUAAAACCAUCAACAUGGAAAAUUCAACUUUUCAAGAGAGCCAUUAAGUGUGAUUAAACCUUUAAAAAGGGAGAACAAUGAAUGCAGCCUUGUAUUUAGCAAUUUCAUAUCUUUAAUUGUACAAAGAUUUUCUUUAAAAGCACAAGCCUGAAAGGAAGCUGAAUGUUACAGUAUUUACUGAAGGAAAGCAAUGAGAGAAGAGAAGGCCUGUUCACUAGCUAAUGGAGUGAAGCCCAGAAAUAAUGACAAAAAAAAGCGAUAACGACCGCUCUCCAACACAACAUAUAUAAAAGAGGGAGCCAUAAAAAGGCAACAAUUCUUGACUUAGCUUUGAGUUUCACAAUGACUGUGAUUACAGAUAGCAAGUGGAAGAGCAUAUAUGCCAUGAUGAAAUCUCAUUGGCUUUGCAAUUGAGAUUCAAGCGAGGAAAGAAAAAAAGCAGGGACAUUGAAUUUCUGCAGAACAAAUUUUGGAUGGGGUAUGAGAAAUGGAAAGAAAGGGAGAAAGAACAAGGUCAUCAAAAAGUUCAGCAGAAAAUGAAUAUAUUCUCAUCCAUUCCAUCUAAUAAUAAACACACUAGGGGCCAGAUCCUCAGAUGAACCGAAUGCCAGUGAUGGAGCUAGCUGGUAGUUCCUGCAUAUGUGAAGAUCAAAUAUGUACAUGCAUCCUGGUGUACUUUAGCCUGUGCCAUCUUGCAGCAUCUUUCAUGCACACAGAAACCUUUGACUAAUGGGAACUAGAUUAUACCAAAGAAAUAAAAAACUAAACUCAUUAACUCAUACAAUAAUUAUAUUUAUGAUACAUUUCAUGCUAGCUUAACUGUAAGUGCUACUUUAAAGAGAAAAUAUUUUGACACAUUUUAAUGACACAUUAAUUGCCAGCUUUAUUUUUCUCGAUCAGUUUUUUAAAAGGCAGUGUUAGCAUCUUAUCUUCCAUCACACAUGUACGUGUCUGACUUCAUAUAUGUAAUACUGAGAUUAUAUAUGCUUGUACUUUUUCAUGACAAGGCUAUGUUAUCUCAGUUGAAGUCUUAUGCUCUUUGGAUUUUAACGGGCAUCUUUUAAAGCCUUCCAGUAGAUUUCCAAAAUACCUUAGAAGUGCAACUUCUAUUCAGUCAUUGUCUAGAAAACUAUAAGAGUGAGGUUUCUUAUACUUCUUCUAGAAAAAUUAGCUUUAAAGGUGCAGAGUGCAGAAGCUACGUAAAAAGAAUCCCCAAAGCAUUGAAACUACACUCUGACAGAUGGCAGAAGGUGCUGGUGGUCCCAGGCAGAGAGAAUGUAAUGUGACACACUGCAAAACAGCAACCUAGCAGGGAGAAUGAUGACUGAGGCUUGAUUCUCUCAAGGAGAAAGGCUGAGCAGAAUCACAUUAGAUCUCUGAGGAGUUUGCCUAAACAAUUUUAUUACAGUUACUCAGAGUAAUACCAGCUGUGAGCUUGUUAUUUAACAUCAUGGUAACUUGCAUGAGCAAUGAAAUAAAAAUGAAUUGGAGAGGAAUGUAGAAGUAAUGUAAAGGUGGCAGCAUGCCUGUAGGCAUAAGAACGAUGAAGAUGGAUACCAUUUUGAAGACUGAAAAAGCUAGUGCGACUGCGAGACAAGCAUAUGAGAAACCUGAAUGUCUGACACCUACCAUGGAGCCAGUGGCUUGCCGAUGACAGCCAUAUGGGAUAUGUCCGAUAAAGGUGAUCAGUGUAAAGAAUCAAACAAAAAUGCCAUUUCAGAACAGCCAGAACUAUCUGCAAAUGCAGUUCUCAUUCAGUGAAUAGCUUCAACUAGAAAAAAGAAAACACUUGAAAAAGACAGACACGAUUCCUUUGUCAUUUCUCAUAUUGAAUCUGAGCAGGGAAUUGUGAGCCUGAUAGCUUGCUGGUAGUGGCCUAACGCUCUGCAAAACUUUGCCUCAUUUGUAUCCUUAGAGCAUUGGGCCUACAAUAAUGGUAUUAAUUCUCUUUGCACUAGUAAAGAGAUGGUACGUGUUUCCUCUUUAGACCAGCAUGUGUAUCCUGGGAUUUCCCAUCCCUUGCUGACUCAGUGUAUAUUUAAUUAUACAAUGCAAAAUAAACCUGCUUGAAGGAGAUGAAAGAGCUCUACCUCUUGCAAGAGAGCCCUAGACCUGAAACAGCGUUAGCCACAGUCCCACUCUCAGCACAGAUAUGGACUAGAGAUUUUUAGAGCCCUCUCCAACACCUUUUCUGUGCCUUUGUGAUGACAUGCUCAGUUAGGUGGGUGUUAGGCACCGCUGUUUGGUGGUUGGCACCUACCUUCCUAGAGAAGGUAAGCCUAUGCUUUAGCAUUUCUUUUCCUGUGUAGCAAUUAAAAAGAGAUGGUCCCAGAAGGAUUGUCUUAAUUUUUAAGCAUAGUAAAUGCACAACAAAUGCUGAGGCCAGGCAGCCCUGAUCUUGAAUUAGAGAAGGUGCCUGAGAUCUGAGGCUUCUUGCUUUGAGGAGUAUCUCUGCCGCCAUCAUAUUGAGUAGAUGAGCAUAGUGUUCCGAAGAGUCCUACAGGAGAGGGUCUCUAGGUCUGGCUCUUAAUUUUGGACCAUUUGUGUUUCUAAUUAUAAAGAUGACUCAAGCUGGGAUUAUGAGUCUCUGGUAGCUCUGAAAAUAAUAUCCAAAGCUGAGCCACAGUUAUCAUUAGAGGCACUGAAAAUAGUUGCAAAACAAUGUACUGAUAUUUCCUGUAGUCACACCAGCUCUGGAAAAUGUUGACAGGAGGCACCAUCACAAAACUUUUGCCUGACAAAUGAAGAAGAGGACAAUGCCUGUAAUUUAGAUUUUGUAGUCUGCCAUCAAUUAAGUUGUAUGAGAAUCACUAGACCGAAGAGGGUAUUUGCGUGGGAAAGGUGAAUGAAAAUGCUCACCAUAGACUACAUACACUGAGAUUUUGCUAAUGAAGAAAAAGUGCAAAUACAGAGUUCCACUAUCUAAAACAAAAACAAAUUAAACUUCAUUCAUUGUGCCAUAGCCCUUAACAAGGGCAAUAAUAGGCGCUUAUGCAGGAUGAUAUAUUUUGUGAUUAUUGUAAAGAAUGACAUCCUUCUAUAAAAUGAAAUUAUGAAUUGUUUCAUGAAUGCUACAUCCCUGACACUUGCAGGACUGUGCCAUUUUUUUCCACUGAAACACUUAGGCAAUUACUCUUCAUGGAUAAGACAGAAACGUCUGGAUGUACAAUGGUUUCUGCAUUAACAAAGUUGCUAUGAUUUAGUCUGCUGUUUGCAUCUACUAACCUGCAGUGACCAGAAGCCAUUAUUUCCAUCGGACACAAUGGCAACCGGAAACAUUACCCUCACAAUGCUGAAGAAUGUAAAUGCAUUAUCUCAUGACCUCCAAGGAUGUGAACAGGUCUUGAGCUGCCUGGAGAACAUGCUGUGGCACCCAACAUGGCCACACAGGAGGUCUCUGCCUGCCUCUGCUGUCCCUGAUGCCGAAGGAGGACAGGCUGUGCCGGACAAUUAUGUGAUCGUGACAAAGCCAAGUGACUCCCAGGGAUCAUCCACAAUGAUGAUGAGAGCCGGUGGGGAACACCAUGGAGGAGAAUGAAACAAUUACGAGCGUCUUUUAAAGGAAACUGUGAGAGAGAGGACUCCAGACGCUGCAGUGUGACAGCUAAACCAAGGAGCAUCGGAUGCAAUGGAAUUGCUCUACAAGCAACCUUGCCAAAGGCCCUUUUGCUGCACAAAGCUGGCUCUAUCUUUGUAUAUUGAGGGAACUAAAUCAAUGUUAAAUGCUUGGCUCUUUUCACAGGACAAUGACCAGGACCUAAGCUGCGUCCUUCCUAUUUGAUUGACACUUGAAACGUUGAGUUGGAAUCAGCCAGAGGCACUGCUACAAGCUUGAAGCCUCUGCUGGGGAUAACAACUGGUGACAUCUGCAGAAAGGCCGACAAAAGGCAGUUGAAAGCCGUGUUUGUUGCUUUCCCCUCUCAGAUCUCCUCUCUUUCAUGGAGCUCCUUACUUGCUUUAAUAUUAUGAUUCAGCACCUGGCUCUUUUGAACCUUGCUUUAAACUUCAAAAGGCGAGGUGGUAUUAACAAACAUGAAACGAAAAAGUGGCAGUAGUUUGAUUUACUGUUGUCGUCUUAUCAAGGGGGUUUUUUGUCACCAGCUGCCACUUUCUGUCAUCUUUGGAACCAUUAUCAUUUCUCUAAAAUCUAAAAGACUCCACUUAAUAACAGCUUUGAAUACAGGCAGGAUCAGUAACGUAUACAGUUCUGGGAUGACAGGGCCGUCAAAUGAAAAGAAAGAUGUUGCCAAAAAAAAAAAAAAAAAUCCUUAAAAAAAAAAAAGCAAUAAAACAAAUAAAAGCCAUAGUACUUCUAAGUGACCUUGAUUUCAGAAUUAAACAAAUCAAGCACAAUUCCAUUGUUCUUUCUGGAUUAAUUCUGCACUUUCUUUGCAGUGUUUCUUUUUUGUUCUCAGGACUAAGGGAAAACAAAGCCAAGGCUUUCAGAAAACUGCUCGGCACACAACAAGCACUUGGUAUCACAUGAGUGCUGUAAGCUUCUCACUGUAAAACUGCCAGCGAUAAUUACUGGUCUCGUUUCCCCACCAUCCCAGCACAGCAACUCACAUUCAGGCUGAGCUGCCUUGCUAGUCAAAAAAAUGCUCAACUCCCCUCUUAUAGUGCUGCUCCAUGCUUUCCUGCAGACCUUCCCAACAUGGUUGUGUUGGUCUUUGGCUGCCAAGGCAGAACCAAGUGCCUGGUCAAGUUUGCCCAUUGCAGCUGCUCACAUUAAGCCACAGGCAGUCAAAUAAACACAAUUUUCUAAAGUGCAAACCUACUGCACUUUCACACUUGUCGCCUUGCCAUUCUUUACGGGAAACUCACUCUGAUCCCUUUGUUUUAUAAUGGUAUGCAUAAUUAACUCAUCUGAAGGUAGAAAUUUCUCCCACUGCCUUCUAAACUCAUGGAUAAAUGAUGGACAAGCCAUCACAAGCAGUGACUUUUAAUUUGCACAAAUUGGAACCUGCACUUCUGUGCAUCUUAAUAGUUACUUCCACUUGUGCAAAAAUAGUGAAACCAACUGCAAAAACCAAAGGAUCCCCUCCACUCUCCCCAUUGAUGUGUCCUCCCUCCCCUCAGUUAUGUGUAAAUCCAGGCAAUGGGAUCCAACACAUGGUCUCCCAUUGGCCUCUUCCAGACCUGUUCAACCACAGGAAUCUGGGGGAGAUUUAUGCCAGAACAUCUUCCUAAAACAGUGAUGGAAACAACAAAAUGAAAAUAUUCAUAGAAGUGAAAGUGCUGAUGUCUUGACCAGUGAAAACACAGGAUUGCAAGACUCCAAAGUUGGUUGAUUUUUUAUGGACUGGGAUGCGACAAAACUCAUGAAAUUGAGAUGGAGAUUGCUAAAAAUACCUAUUAUCCUCUGACAGAAGCACUCACUGUAUAACGAUAACGAGGGUUUUUCACAGAGCAUGUACAGAUUUGAAAGUUUAGUCAUUUUAACAAGUGUUAAUUACUGCAUGCUAACCAGCAGAAGUGUGUGGGGGAGAUGUUUUAUAUUUAUUUGUUCCAGACUUGGAACAUAUUAGAAAGUAGGCUCCCUUCCAGGUUACUGUGGUAUGAAUGAAUACGUUACCCAACUACAAAUAAAAAAUACUGCAAGAAGAAAUAAGGACUUUUCCCCAGCAUAUUUCUUUGAAGAGAAGACCGAGAAUAUGUUUAGUCUAUUACAUCAAGUGGAAAUCUUAGCCUGACCCUACUAAAAGUGCGUGUAGCACACAGAUACCAGAGCAGUGUGUCUGUGGGAGGUACUUUUAGGUUUAUCCAUGAAAAAAUGAGAUAUUCUGAAAGAAAGAACAUACAUGGGAAAUUAUCGG